AGCUCAGCGCUCUGCGGCCGAGCUAUGGGGCAGCCGCGCCGCGAAGCGGGGGUGCGUGCGGGGUCCCGUCGGCCCCAGGCCCGCUUUCCGCUGAGUGCCUCCUGCAGUAGCGGUGUCAGCAGGUUGACCAGGCGUUUCAGAGCGCCCUUGGAAAACGCGAGGUUUCCAUCGGAUGUUUCAUAAAGGUUGUGCAGGUAGACGUGUGGGGUAGCCAGGCACCAGCACAGCCAAAAAGAAUCAGUACAAUCGCCUCCAUGCUGGAAGUCCCCGGCUGGUCCCUCUGGGCCCUUCUGAUUGCAGUGAGCAAAACAAACAAAACAACAGCUGCCUUCAGAUCUGGCAGCAUGUUAUCUGGCUCUUCUAAUUCUGGAAUGAGAGGCAGGAGCCAUGCUUCGUUAUCUCUGAAAUAAAAGCCUCCAGC
ensembl:lncRNA